AAUCUUCCGCAAUGGGCGCAAGCCUGACGGUGCAACGCCGCGUGAGUGACGAAGGUUCUCGGAUUGUAAAACUCUGUCCAGAGGGAAGAAACAAAUGACGGUACCACUGGGGGAAGCCCCGGCUAACUACGUGCCAGCAGCCGCGGUAAAACGUAGGGGGCGAGCGUUGUCCGGAAUUACUGGGCGUAAAGGGCGUGUAGGCGGCCAAUUAAGUCAUUCGUGAAACCUGCCGGCUUAACCGGUAGCUUGCGAAAGAAACUGUUUGGCUUGAGUGCAGUAGAGGGGAGUGGAAUUCCCAGUGUAGCGGUGAAAUGCGUAGAUAUUGGGAGGAACACCAGUGGCGAAAGCGGCUCCCUGGCCUGUAACUGACGCUGAGGCGCGAAAGCGUGGGUAGCAAACAGG
rnacentral:rRNA from 1 species